ACGAACGCUGGCGGCAUGCCUAACACCUGCAAGUCGAACGCGACCUUCGGGUCUAGUGGCGCACGGGUGCGUAACGCGUGGGAACCUGCCCUUAGGUUCGGAAUAACUCCCCGAAAGGGGUGCUAAUACCGGAUAAUGUCUUCGGACCAAAGAUUUAUCGCCUUUGGAUGGGCCCGCGUUGGAUUAGCUAGUUGGUAGGGUAAAAGCCUACCAAGGCGACGAUCCAUAGCUGGUCUGAGGGGAUGAUCAGCCACACUGGGACUGAGACACGGCCCAGACUCCUACGGGAGGCAGCAGUGGGGAAUAUUGGACAAUGGGCGAAAGCCUGAUCCAGCAAUGCCGCGUGAGUGAUGAAGGCCUUAGGGUUGUAAAGCUCUUUUACCCGGGAUGAUAAUGACAGUACCGGGAGAAUAAGCUCCGGCUAACUCCGUG
rnacentral:rRNA from 1 species